AGAGUGUAAGGUUUGUUUGUUUUUUUGUUUAUGCAUUUAGUGUUGAGUUUUUCGGAUAAAAUUUUAUAUUAAUAUUAUUGAUUCGUAAUUUUUUUAAAAAUGUUAAAAAUUUUAAAGUAUAAAAAUAUAAAAAAUUAAUGUAUACAUUAUACAUAGGUGAAAAAAAAUUCAUCAGAAUAUUAGUUUUCCUAAAAAAUAUUGAAAGUUUUUUUUGAAAAAUUAUGAGCGUAAAAAUCAAAGCAAAUAUGUUUAUCUCUAACGAUCAAUAAAAUUUAAUUAACGGGCUAUCAUGUUUGAUUAUUAUUCAAACAUUAUAUAAUUACAUUUAAGUUACAUAAUCAAUCAUCAUAUACAUAGUUUCUCCAAAAGAGUGAAAUAAAUUUGAACUCAAAUACUUUUCAUCAAAAACUUUUAAAAAAAAAUAGAAAAUAAAAGAAAUGAGAAAUUAGAUAUUAGUAGAUCAAUUAGAAAUCCAAGCGAAGAUAAUUGUGAAAUAAAAACAAACAUGCUAAUCUCUAACAAUCAAUAAGAUAUUGACAGGAUACCAUGUUUUAUUAGUUUUCACACAUUAUACAAAGCUUAAUAUAAUCAAUCAUGUAAUACAUAAUUUCUCGAGAAAUAUAAAAUAACUUUUCAUCAAAAACUUUUAAGAAAGGAAAAUAAAAACUUUGGAAAAUAUGAUAUUAGAAGAGAGAGAGAAGAUAAGAGAUCAUCAUACCCAAGACAGCAGCAUCUCUUCUUCCUUGUCUGAAACCAAACAUCCAAGAACCCGAUUCACCUCCACCACAAUUGUUAAAACUGAGAAAGCUGUUGACUUUAUCAACAAGAUCUGAGCUUUGAUGUAUAAUCUCAAACGAACCAAGCUCAACGACGCCGUUUUCAGUGACAAUCUUCAUCUACUGCUUGGUCGGACACCGUUGACUGUCCCUCCUACGGAGAUCAGAUCGUAGAGUUCAGAUCUCCUUCGAUGCUCUUACUCCGUCGCCGCACUAACUGGGCUCUGUUUUCUUCGUCAUCUCUUCUUCUCCAACAAAGUCGUGGAGCUUUCUCAUUGCUCCUUCGAUUAAACCUUGGAGUCGUUCCUGGAGAGGUGGUUGAGGAAAAAGAGAAGAGUGAUCGGAGGAGGCGAUGAAAGCUUCCAUCACGGCAUCACUGACGCAUUGUCUACGUUUGACCAGAGGCGAUGAAAGCUUCCGAGACAUAAAUAAACUUCUCCGAUUAGAUAAAACUGAGAGAGUGAGAGAUUGGAGUGAGAGUGAGAGAGUGUGAAGUGAGAAGUGAGAGAGUGUGAGACCAAAAUACAAGAAAAGUGUCGACGGUUGGAAACGGUAACAAUUUCCUUUUUUUUAAAUUCCAGAUAUUUAUUUUAAAUGUUAUUUUCCUAUUUAUUUUGUUGGGAAUAUAAAAGGAAAAAAAAGGUCUAAGCUAGUCUCGCACACUAAGGUCACGGGUUCGAAAAUCGGCUCGGACACUUUUGUUUUACCUUCUGUGUAACUUUUUGCACAUGGUACAACCACAUCAUCUCCACUACACGUAGGUGGGUGGCCACGCUGAGAAGUGAAGAAGCUUGCACAAUGUUCUUUGAUUAAGAUCUUGUAGAGUUUGUUAACAUUUGUUUGUGUUCUUGCUCCUUAUUACAAGACCCAUUUGGCUAUUAUUGGUAAUGUGACUUUGUUAGCAUAUAGCUUUCCUUAACAACAGGUAAUAUGACUUCGUUUGGUUUCUAUUUUUUUUUUUAAUCUCUUCGAUUGAGACUUCAUGUGAAGUUGGCAUAGAGGUCUCUCCUCCUUUGUAUACAAUGGUUGCUCUUUGAUUGGAUUUGGAUAUGAUUUGAUUGUUUUUUUUUGGGUCUUUGUUCUUGAAAAUCUGAGUCUUUCAAGGUGCUUUGUUACAUUUUCCAUGUGGCGGUUUGGUUGUUCAUUUCAUGUUUAUUUUCCUAAGGAGUACUCACUAUCCCUUGAAAAUCUGAGUGUUUCAAGGUGCUUUGUUACAUCCAUGUCUUGGUUUCUAAUGUGUAUGGUGUUCUUCCUGCGGUUUUAUUGUGGGUCCUCUCACUUCCCUUGCCGUGAUCAUUGUUCAUGCAAGCGUGAGAGAACACCGAAUCUCAAGGCACGCUUAAACACAUUCCAUGAAGACUGAAGAGUUUCGAGCUGUCUGGCGUAACUACAAUGAACGUUUUGGUUUCAGGCUUUGGGGACGGUGAGAUUGAAGAUUGAGCUACACUCACGUGGCUCUUUUUACUUAUUUCAACACCACUAGAUAAGCUCCUAAAGAGAUUUGUGGCCAAGAAAAAGUAUGAAUAUAAAUGGUGAAUCCAUGAGUCCAAAGACCAAAUCUCAAGAAUAUGUUCAACUUACAACAAUGCACACUUUGACGAAGGAGUGAGUUUGGUUUUUGAUAGAUAAGUCUAAUGCACAAGUUUGUGUUUUUUGUUUCUCAGUAGUACAACCACCACCACACAAAAAACAAAAAAUUAUAUAUAAUUAAGAAAAUAGUGGAUCAUGCCUAAAGCGGUUUUACUGGAUCAUGCUUGUUUAACUA